GAUGAACGCUGGCGCGUGCCUAACACAUGCAAGUCGAGCGAUUUACUUCGGUAAAGAGCGGCGGACGGGUGAGUAACGCGUGGGUAACCUGCCCUGUACACACGGAUAACAUACCGAAAGGUAUGCUAAUACGGGAUAACAUAGAGAAGUCACAUGGCUUUUUUAUCAAAGCUUUUGCGGUACAGGAUGGACCCGCGUCUGAUUAGCUAGUUGGUAAGGUAAUGGCUUACCAAGGCGACGAUCAGUAGCCGACCUGAGAGGGUGAUCGGCCACAUUGGAACUGAGACACGGUCCAAACUCCUACGGGAGGCAGCAGUGGGGAAUAUUGCACAAUGGGCGAAAGCCUGAUGCAGCAACGCCGCGUGAGCGAUGAAGGCCUUCGGGUCGUAAAGCUCUGUCCUCAAGGAAGAUAAUGACGGUACUUGAGGAGGAAGCCCCGGCUAACUACGUG
rnacentral:rRNA from 1 species